rnacentral:pre_miRNA from 1 species
UGACUACUCCCUCCGUUCCGAAUUACUUGUCGCAGAUAUGGAUGUAUCUAGAUGUAUUUUAGUUCUAGAUACAUCCAUUUCUGCGACGAGUAAUUUGGAACGGAGGGAGUACCUU